rnacentral:rRNA from 1 species
GACGAACGCUGGCGGCGUGCUUAACACAUGCAAGUCGAACGGUGAAGCGCCUUCCUUUUUGGUGGGUGUGGAUGAGUGGCGAACGGGUGAGUAACACGUUAGUAACCUGCCCCCUUCUUCUGGAUAACCGCAUGAAAGUGUGGCUAAUACGGGAUAUUCUGGGUCUGUCGCAUGAUGGGUCUGGGAAAGAUAUUGUUUCGGUGGGGGAUGGGCUCGCGGCCUAUCAGCUUGUUGGUGGGGUGAUGGCCUACCAAGGCGGUGACGGGUAGCCGGCCUGAGAGGGUGGACGGUCACACUGGGACUGAGACACGGCCCAGACUCCUACGGGAGGCAGCAGUGGGGAAUAGUGCACAAUGGGCGCAAGCCUGAUGCAGCGACGCCGCGUGAGGGAUGGAGGCCUUCGGGUUGUGAACCUCUUUCGCCAGUGAAGCAGGCCUGCCUCGUUUGUGGGUGGGUUGACGGUAGCUGGAUAAGAAGCGCCGGCUAACUACGUG